AGCCUACCAUUUGUGUCCUCUUGAGGUACCUGAAUUACCAAAAGCUAUGUAUUCUGAAGUUAUUGAAAAUAAGAGCUUUUGGGAAUUCAGGUAGUUCAGGAGUGACUUUUCUA
ensembl:miRNA